rnacentral:misc_RNA from 1 species
AACGCACAUUGCGGCCAUAGGUAUUCCUUUGGCCAUGCCUGUUCGAGCGUCAUUUACACCUUCAAGCCCUGCUUGGUGUUGGGCGUCUGUCCCGCCGUCUCACGCGCGCGGACUCGCCUCAAAGUCAUUGGCGGCGGUCGUGCCGGCCCCUCGCGCAGCACAUUUGCGCUUCUCGGAGGCCCGGCGGAUCCGCGCUCCAGCAAGACCUUUCACGACUUGACCUCGGAUCAGGUAGGGAUACCCGCUGAACUUAA